UUCAAUUACAGUGUCUUCUAACCCUACAG
rnacentral:piRNA from 1 species